rnacentral:rRNA from 1 species
GUAGGGAAUCUUCCGCAAUGGGCGCAAGCCUGAUGGAGCAACACCGCGUGAGUGAAGAAGGGUUUCGGCUCGUAAAGCUCUGUUGUUAAAGAAGAACACGUAUGAGAGUAACUGUUCAUACGUUGACGGUAUUUAACCAGAAAGUCACGGCUAACUACGUGCCAG